GCGUUGAAAAGCUCGGGGAUGACUUGUGGGUAGCGGUGAAAUUCCAAUCGAGCCCGGAGAUAGCUGGUUCUCCCCGAGAUAGCUUUAGGGCUAGCCUCAAGGUGAGAGAUACGGAGGUAGAGCACUGAAUGUCCUAGGGGGUAUUGCACCUACCGAAGACUAUCAAACUCCGAAUGCCGUCAUCUUAUACUUGGGAGUCAGACUG
rnacentral:rRNA from 1 species